rnacentral:rRNA from 1 species
CCGCCGCGGUAACACGGAAGCCCCGAGCGUUGUUCGGAUUCAUUGGGCGUAAAGGGUGCGUAGGCGGCGCGGAAAGUCCGGCGUGAAAGGCAGAGGCUCAACCUCUGGACUGCGUUGGAUACUUCCGUGCUUGAGGACUGGAGGGGAGACUGGAAUUCACGGUGUAGCAGUGAAAUGCGUAGAUAUCGUGAGGAAGACCGGUGGCGAAGGCGAGUCUCUGGACAGAUCCUGACGCUGAGGCACGAAGGCUGGGGGAGCGAACAGGAUUAGAUACCCUGGUAGUCCCAGCAGUAAACGAUGUGAGCUUGAUGUGGGGGGAUUCGACCCCUUCCGUGUCGAAGCUAACGCGAUAAGCUCACCGCCUGAGGAGUACGGCCGCAAGGCUAAAACUCAAAGAAAUUGACGGGGACCCGCACAAGCGGUGGAGUAUGUGGCUUAAUUCGAUGCAACGCGAAGAACCUUACCUGGCCUUGACAUGCAUUGUGUCGUCGGUGAAAGCCGGCUAGUCCUGGAAACAGGACGCUUUGCACAGGUGCUGCAUGGCUGUCGUCAGCUCGUGUCGUGAGAUGUUGGGUUAAGUCCCGCAACGAGCGCAACCCUUGUGGUCAGUUACUAACCGGCUUAGCCGGAGGACUCUGGCCAGACUGCCCUGUCAAACGGGGAGGAAGGUGGGGACGACGUCAAGUCAGUAUGGCCCUUAUGGCCAGGGCUGCACACGUACUACAAUGCCCGGUACAAUGUGAACCGAAACCGCGAGGUGGAGGAAAUCGCUCUUGAAAACCGGGCCCAGUUCGGAUUGGAGUCUGCAACUCGACUCCAUGAAGUCGGAAUCGCUAGUAAUGGCGUAUCAGCAACGACGCCGUGAAUACGUUCCCGGGU